AUUCAAGAGACUUAAACAGUAAUGAAGAAAGUUCAGUUGCUGUUGCUUCUCUUAGUCGCUCUCAUUGCUUCAAUAUCUGGUCCGUGGAUGGUGGGGGUAGAAGCACAACUGCCGCGCU